rnacentral:rRNA from 1 species
UCCGUUGGUGAACCAGCGGAGGGAUCAUUACUGAGUUUACGCUCUAUAACCCUUUGUGAACAUACCUAUAACUGUUGCUUCGGCGGGUAGGGUCUCCGCGACCCUCCCGGCCUCCCGCCUCCGGGCGGGUCGGCGCCCGCCGGAGGAUAACCAAACUCUGAUUUAACGACGUUUCUUCUGAGUGGUACAAGCAAAUAAUCAAAACUUUUAACAACGGAUCUCUUGGUUCUGGCAUCGAUGAAGAACGCAGCGAAAUGCGAUAAGUAAUGUGAAUUGCAGAAUUCAGUGAAUCAUCGAAUCUUUGAACGCACAUUGCGCCCGCCAGCAUUCUGGCGGGCAUGCCUGUUCGAGCGUCAUUUCAACCCUCAAGCUCUGCUUGGUGUUGGGGCCCUACAGCUGAUGUAGGCCCUCAAAGGUAGUGGCGGACCCUCCCGGAGCCUCCUUUGCGUAGUAACUUUACGUCUCGCACUGGGAUCCGGAGGGACUCUUGCCGUAAAACCCCCCAAUUUUCCAAAGGUUGACCUCGGAUCAGGUAGGAAUACCCGCUGAACUUAAGCAUAUC